rnacentral:lncRNA from 1 species
GUGAAACGGCUGCUGGGUCCGGGUCCCUGACGCCGUCUGAGUUUGGGCCUCUUGAGUGAGAGGCAGCGAGGAGCCUAGCGGUGGGCAUUGAAUUUCACUCCCUGCGCACUGAACGUUGCUUUAUUCAUUGGUUAAUUUUCCUAACAGCGUUGUAAACCCAGGCCGGGAUGUCCUGAGCGUUCUGGCAGAGGCCCGUGCAGCCUCGGCCCCUUCCGGUCCGCGCUAGCCUGGCCUUUGCCCUGAGCUCCCUCAGCUUCGCAAGAUGAGCUUCCCAGACGGGGCCGGGGCCUGGCUCUGAGGGAAAGGCGUUCCCGCCAGGUCUGGGGCCGCCUUCCCAUGUUCUCUAAAGCCCAGCACCUGUGGUUCGUUGGCGGGGCUCGUGGGAUUGGGCUGAUAAAAAGGAGGUGGUGUGACUCUGGUGACACACAGUGAGGAAAUGACAGAGCUGGAGUUUCCGUCUGUUCCACAUUGCUGCAUUUGUUCUGCCUGACUUGGACCCUGGAAAACCUGGCCCUCUUCAAUUUCUGACAAAAGGUAAAAUGUGCAAACUUUGUGAACCAGGAAUUUAUCCUGCAAAAAGGUAAAUGGACAGAGAUGCUCGUUGCAUCCCUAUUUGUAAUAAUAAGAGAUUGGGAAAACUCAAAUGUUCAUCAAAGGAGAAUUGCUUCAACAAUUUUAUGUUGUAAUCCAUGUGAUAGAAUACUGAUAUAUUUUUUAAAAAAGAGGUUAGCUCCACAGAAGUGACAGGAAACUGUCCACAAUGUGUCCUGAGGCCAAAACAAGUUGCAGAACAGUAUGUAAACAGUUUGUAACUUUUUUGUAACUACAUAGGUAAAAAUACUUUUGGCUUUACUUCUUUGUCUGCUUAGACUCCCAGAUUCUCUGAUGAUACCACUCUGGUGCUUGUCCUAAUGGGAAAGUUUCCUGAAAUCCUGCGAUGAGUUUGACAGUUUCAAAAUUCCUUCAAACAUACAGUGAA